rnacentral:lncRNA from 1 species
ACCAUUUUGGCAAGACUUCACGAACUACGCACACCUGAUUCUCCUCUCUUGGGAGUGAGAUACGUAGGCGCCCUUCUUGGGUUCGGUGACCUUUUCAUAAAGGAAAAGGAAAAAGAAAAAAGUUUGAGAAAGUGUUGAACUCUAACGCAUUUUCUAUCUCUUGUCCAGUUAGUUUAAGGUGGUUGGUUUGUGGCAUUUUGGCUGGUCCUCCAUAUUGCUCCAAGUCACAGAGAAAGUUAUGGCCAGCAAGGAUACCUAGUUAGUUGUCACUAAUUAGAUAGGGAGUUCGGGGAAUGAGAAUGUAG